ACAGCGCCGCCAGCGACUCCCACAGCAGAGUCCCACCGCCACAGGCCUCGGGCCAGCAGCCAGGAGCUGCCACCCCCAGCCCCCAUCCUGGGGCCCCCAGCAGCCCCCAACCCCGCCCCACGGGCCCGGUGCCAUGAGUGAGCUGGAGCAAUUGAGACAGGAGGCCGAGCAGCUCCGGAACCAGAUCCGGGAUGCCCGAAAAGCAUGUGGGGACUCAACACUGACCCAGAUCACAGCUGGGCUGGACCCAGUGGGGAGAAUCCAGAUGAGGACCCGGAGGACCCUUCAUGGGCAUCUGGCAAAGAUCUAUGCCAUGCACUGGGGGACCGACUCAAGGCUGCUGGUCAGUGCCUCCCAGGAUGGGAAGCUCAUCAUCUGGGACAGCUACACCACCAACAAAGUUCAUGCCAUCCCGCUACACUCCUCCCGGGUCAUGACCUGUGCCUACGCGCCCUCAGGGAACUUUGUGGCCUGUGGGGGUUUGGACAACAUCUGCUCCAUCUACAGCCUCAAGACCCGCGAGGGCAAUGUCAGGGUCAGCCGGGAGCUGCCUGGCCACACUGGGUAUGUGUCGUGCUGCCGCUUCCUGGAUGACAACCAAAUCAUCACCAGCUCUGGGGAUACCACCUAUGCCCUGUGGGACAUUGAGACAGGCCAGCAGACAGUGGGUUUUGCUGGACACAGUAGGGAUGUGAUGUCCCUGUCCCUGGCCCCUGAUGGCCGCACGUUUGUGUCAGGCGCCUGUGUGUGACGCCUCUAUCAAGCUGUGGGACGUUCGGGAUUCCAUGUGCCAACAGACCUUCAUUGGCCACGAAUCCGACAUCAACGUGGUGGCUUUCUUCCCCAACGGCUACACCUUCACCACUGGCUCUGAUGACGCCACGUGCCGCCUCUUUGACCUGCGGGCCGAUCAGGAGCUCCUCAUGUACUCCCACGACAACAUCAUCUAUGGCAUCACCUCUGUUGCCUUCUCUCGCAGCGGCCGGCUGCUGCUUGCUGGCCACAACGACUUCAACUGCAACAUCUGGGAUGCCAUGAAGGGCGACCGUGCAGGGGUCCUCGAUGGCCACGACAACCGUGUGAGCUGUCUCGGGGUCACUGAUGAUGGCAUGGCUGUGGCCAUGAGCUCCUGGGACUCCUUCCUCAAGAUCUGGAACUAAUGGCCCCAACCCUGCUGGGCCCAGGCCAGGAGGGACCCUGCCCACGCCCACACUACACUCCGGGGCUGUGGAGCUGGGGGCACUCCCAGCCCCCUUCCCUGGGCCACAGGGCCUUGGGUCCCUGCCCUCCCACCCAAGUUUUGUUCCUCCCAGGGCCCCCACUGUGGAGAUAAGGAGAUGGAAUGGGGGAAGAGGAGGGGCAGGAGGCCCUCAUCCUUCUGCUGCCCUGGGGUUAGGGCCUCACCCCUCUGGAGGGCCAGAGGCAGGAGGUAAAAACCCCAGGGGCUGGCUUUUUAAAAACUGGUUUUAUUUUAAUUUUUAUUAUAUUUUCAGUUUUUCCAUAAAGCAGCCAAUUCCAACUCUGAAAAAAAAA